CCUACGGGAGGCAGCAGUAGGGAAUCUUCCACAAUGGGCGCAAGCCUGAUGGAGCAACGCCGCGUGAAUGAAGAAGGUCUUCGGAUCGUAAAAUUCUGUUGUUAGAGAAGAAUAUGAGUAAUAGUAACUGAUUAUUCACUGACGGUAUCUAACCAGCAAGUCACGGCUAACUACGUGCCAGCAGCCGCGGUAAUACGUAGGUGGCAAGCGUUGUCCGGAUUUAUUGGGCGUAAAGGGAACGCAGGCGGUUUUUUAAGUCUGAUGUGAAAGCCUUCGGCUUAACCGGAGAUGUGCAUUGGAAACUGAAAGACUUGAGUGCAGAAGAGGAGAGUGGAACUCCAUGUGUAGCGGUGAAAUGCGUAGAUAUAUGGAAGAACACCAGUGGCGAAAGCGGCUCUCUGGUCUGUAACUGACGCUGAGGUUCGAAAGCAUGGGUAGCGAACAGGAUUAGAUACCCCUGUAGUC
rnacentral:rRNA from 1 species